rnacentral:rRNA from 1 species
GAUGAACGCUGGCGGCGUGCCUAAUACAUGCAAGUCGAGCGAAUGGAUUAAGAGCUUGCUCUUAUGAAGUUAGCGGCGGACGGGUGAGUAACACGUGGGUAACCUGCCCAUAAGACUGGGAUAACUCCGGGGAACCGGGGCUAAUACCGGAUAAUAUUUUGAACUGCAUGGUUCAAAAUUGAAAGGCGGCUUCGGCUGUCACUCAUGGAUGGACCCGCGUCGCAUUAGCUAGUUGGUGAGGUAACGGCUAACCAAGGCAACGAUGCGUAGCCGACCUGAGAGGGUGAUCGGCCACACUGGGACUGAGACACGGCCCAGACUCCUACGGGAGGCAGCAGUAGGGAAUCUUCCGCAAUGGACGAAAGUCUGACGGAGCAACGCCGCGUGAGUGAUGAAGGCUUUCGGGUCGUAAAACUCUGUUGUUAGGGAAGAACAAGUGCUAGUUGAAUAAGCUGGCACCUUGACGGUACCUAACCAGAAAGCCACGGCUAACUACGUGCCAGCAGCCGCGGUAA